AUUGAACGCUGGCGGCAGGCCUAACACAUGCAAGUCGAACGAGUGGCGGACGGGUGAGUAAUGUCUGGGAAACUGCCAGAUGGAGGGGGAUAACCACUGGAAACGGUAGCUAAUAACGACAACUAUCAGAUGAACCCAUAUGGGAUUAGCUAGUAGGUGGGGUAAUGGCCCACCUAGGCGACGAUCCAUCGCUGGUCUGAGAGGAUGACGAGCCACACUGGGACUGAGCCACGGUCCAGACUCCUGCGGGAGGAAGCAGUGGGGAAUAUUGCACAAUGGGCGCAAGCCGGAUGCGGCCAUGCCGCGUGUAUGAAGAAGUCCUUCGGGUUGUAAAGCUCUUUCAGCGGGUAGGCGUUACCCGCAGAAGAAGCACCGGCUAACUCCGUGCCAGCAGCCGCGGUAAUAC
rnacentral:rRNA from 1 species